CUGGAGAUCCCUGCCUACCUGAGGCCUUCUGAAGGUCAAAAAAUGUGCUGGAUGUCUAGAAUGUUCUGGGAUCAGAAGAGAGACAAGAUCUGAUACAAGAUAAUGGAAAUACCUCACCUACUGGGUUGUACUACUUCUCCCCUAGUGGUUACUUCAGAGAGCAGGAGAUGGCUGUAAUUUCAGGAUUAUUUUCCCUGAUGCUGUCACUUGGAAUAGCCUGUGUUUCCAAGUGUCAUUCUCAGACCGAAGUGAUGCACAUGAGACAGAGGAAGGCCAGGUUAUCUCAGCACUGGCUUCCAGCAAAGCUUCAGCAGCACAGCCUCCUCCUGCCCCACCAGCUGGCUUGGCCACAGAAGAGUCAACCCUGAAUGGACCUGAAUGUGAAGAGUUUAUGCAUUACUUCUCCUAUUCACAAAUAAACUGAAUGUUUGACCCAACUCAUUGGAAGAGAAGUGGCAGAUGGGUGAUGCUCAUACACACAAUUAUUAUAAGGACAACCAGUUACCUAUCAGUGAUGGAAAGAUGUAUUCCUAGGGAUUAAAAGGGAGAUGUGAAUUGUUGAGACGUGGGUGUUUAUUUGGAUACAGUUUUGUCAGGAUGAAUUCAGAGUCGUGCAAGUGCACACAGCAUCUUAAAGCUGGAACUUUUUCUAAAGACUAGGCAUGCUGAUUUGCUGCAUUUUAGUGGUGUUAUCAAGAUAAAAUGCAAUUUAAGUAAUAUAACUAAUUCAAUCCAAGCAGUGUUAUUCUACUAAUUCAAAGACAAGGUUGAUUUUAGGUCCCCUUCCACUCAUCUUUUCUCACAUCAGGACGCUCUGUUAUUCGUAACCAAUCAACAACUUAUUCAUUCAUCUAGAAGCACACGCAUGUAUAAUCAGCCUUUCAUCAGGAUCCAAUUACGCUUCAUGAAAUAUUUUCAGUGAAUACUAAAAUUACUGACCCCCCCAAAAAAAAUUCCCUGUGGAAUUUUUCAAACAGGAUGCCAGAAGUCCUGACCUGGCUUAACCAACAGCUCCUUUGGAAGUUAACAGGCAGAUCAGCACUUGCUUGGACAGUUCAUUUAUUAGGCAUCUAUAUGUGUCCCAAUGGGCCACGAAUGUUAUCACUUGUGGGAGGUGUUUGCUUCUUUCCAUUCUGCAUAAAGAAAGAGUAAAUGAUGAUUUAAACUAGAUAUCUGUCUGGUAGGUUGCCAAAAUUGCAUGAGAUACCUCUUUUUUCUUUCUCUUUUUCCUUUCGUUUCUAUUAUUGAUAUUAUUUUCUUUUUAACUGCUCUUAAAUAUGACUAAAUUCCACACAGUAAUUUAUUUGGAAAUGUAUUUAUGGAGAAGGGGAGAAAUGAACAUUCAUAGGAUAUCCCAGAGCCAGGAAGAUGUAGGUUCAUAUCCCUGCCUCGUAAGUAGAGACUAGAUUUGAAAAUGAGCUUAACUCUAAUUAGGCAACUAAUUACUUAGCUAGAGGGGCUUCUCAAGAUGAGCAGUCACUUUUGUUGACAUUGCUUCAGGUUGUAUGGAAUAUUUAAUACCUGAUCAUCAGGACAAAGUGAGUACGGCUGCUCUCCAAGGUGUAGGUUCAACCACUGCUCCAGGAAGGGGCUUCCUAUGCCGGUUUGCAUAUUCUCAUGGAUUAGAAGGAUUUACUGCUUGUGAGCAUGAAUACUCUCAUUUACUGAACACCAUCUAAACUAACAGCUCAUGCUUUUCUGGGAGAUAAGGGCUCAGUUCCUACUAGACAGGAAAGGAACCUAUGGAAUCUCCAUGACUGUGUUGUGGGUGAAGCCAGUGCUCCAUUUUUGAGCGUGAAUCUGCACUUCUCAUGUCUCAAGGCAAAGAAAGCAAGGUGUUUUUAGAUUCUCUUAGAGGGAAAAUAAAUAAAUAAAUAAAUAAAUAGAUGAAGUAGGAAGCUCUGAUUGGUCUAAAUGGACUUUUUGAUUCCCAUUUCUCAAUUUCACUGCUAGAAGUAGAAACACCAGAGGUCUGUACAGGGGAGACAGCAAUGAUGUCUCACUCACCAAGCCCAUGGUCCUCAGAGCCACCAGCACAGUGAUGCCAUAUUCUGACAUAAAAGCUCAUCCUUCUCCAGAUCUCCUUGGGUCACCUUGGGUGCCCAAUGGUGACAACUGUCCACCAUUAGAGAAAUUCAGCCAGGAACACUGGUUUUGUGUCUAGGAUGGCAAUGGAUAUGGCAGCAGCUCACAGGGCUCUGACAACCUAUUUGUCACAUUGAGUUUGGUGGCCUGAGGACAGUCACCUGCUGUAUGCAGCCUCACUUUCCCCAGUGCUCCCAGACCUUCCUUACUCCACCCUCCAUCGUUCGCCUGCUGCAGCUCGCAUCCA